AGUGGACUUUUAACCACAAACUUCCGGAGGAAGUUGUGUUUUACUCUAUUUUCUCAAGAUAAGAAAAUAAUAUCGGUAAAGUUGUUAUUGAUAGUCAUUAAAAUGAAAAUUGGACGAAAAAGUGAGAAAAAGUGCAAGUUAGCUCAAAAUGGAAAUUUGAGCGUUUUUGGCCAAAAUUGCCAAAAUAAAUUGUUGGAGGGUGAUAUUAUAAGGUAUGAUACUAUUGUUAUUUAUUUGGGAAAUAAAUAAUACGGAAUUUAUCGAGAAUCGAAUGAUUAAAGGAUUAGUGGACUAAAUUGGACGAAAUAAAAGUUAUAAAGUGAAAGUUGAGGAGGUGACAAACUCAAGGACUAAAGGAGACUUUUGCCUCACCUAUUUAAGACACUUGCAUAUGAGUUUAAACUCAGCAAGCAUAUCAUUUUCAGCUCCUAAAAUUCGUCCUUCACCCUUUCUCCAUGGAAGAACAUCAAGCAAAUUUCAAAUGGUCAUAACUCACUCAAUUUUGAUCCGAAUUGAGCGAUUCUUGUGGCCACGGAACGAGGGAAGGAUCCUCUACUGAUAUAUAGUAUCAAUUUAAGGUUAUUGAAAGCUUGAAGGGAGUAUUUUGAUGGUUGUUCAUGGAGGAAUUCAUUCAACCAAAGGGUUAUCCCAUCUAGAAAAGGUAUAAAUUCAGAAUUUUGGACUUUUGGUAAUGAAUUGAUUGAAUUGAGUGGAGUAUUGGUUAAGUUUGAAGUUGGAUUUUCUGGUUUGGUGUUGAAUUGAUGCUGUCUACAACUAGAAUUUUUCGAAAUACUUAGAAAUGUUUGUUUGAGCUGGAAUUUUUAUAUGUUCUGAGUAUAUGAGUUAAGUUGGUGUAUAAAAAAUUUCAGAAUUUUUCAUGUUUCUGAUAUUGAGAUAAAAAUUAAAUAGCACCUAGUGCUCUGUUUGCAAAUUGUGUAAGGCUGCUGCUGUAAGUUAAUUAUUUGAGGACCUUAAACACAUUAGUUUGGCCUAAUUUUUGGUAUACACUUAGAAAUAUAUGCUAUAUAAGUGCCAUAAAAUUUUUAGAGAAAAAUAUGGCUAUUUGAUAGGUUAAUUGAAUAAAUCUUUGGUUGUAGUCGGUGUAGGCAGCCGUGCUAUGCACAAAGAUGGUUAUGCGGAUAUGUGUAUUAUCAUAGAAAAGUGGAAAUAAAUGGUUUGAAAUGAAUUGAGUAAGUUGUUAAGAGAUGGCUUAAUCGAGGUGUCUGAAUUAUGUUGAGGUUAUAAUUCGGUAUCAAUAGUUAAUCUUGUUGCGUAAUAAGUUCUAAAUUGAAUUGACGUUUUGCAUAAAAUGUCUUGCAAACAGCGAUAUUGCAAGGGCAAUAUCUCGGGCUGUAUGAGUCCAAAUUAAGUUCCGUUUAUUGGUACGGAAACUUAAGGAUGUUAACUAUAAUUGUCUAAGUUUGAGUUUUUGUUGAAUCGGACUCUAGGAUGUUCAUUUUGGACAGAACAAAUUAUUGUGCAGUCUGCCCUGCACUUGUAAACAGCUCCCAGGAAAUAACUUAUGAGCUAGUUUUCGACACUUUCGGGUGCGUUUCAUGGUCCGAGACCUAAACGAAAGUUGAAGGCGACAUUCUAAACUUUAAGAAUGUCAAUUUUGUUUUGGGGUCGGACUAUUUUUAGAUAAGAGUUUUGUUAGCCGAAGUAGACUAGAAAAUUAGCUUUUUGAUAAAUUAAUUAUACUUAGAAAUUUUAUUAAUUCGUAGCGUUAUCGAAAUUGCGUAGACUCGAAGAAGCGACUAUCGAUAAGGCUCGAGGCGAAUGGAUCGAGAUAUCGUCGUGCUUAUUUAAAGAAUUUGGAUAGCAAGUGGGAUGGUAUGAUAUGAUUUGAAGAGUUAAGCUUCCGAAGUUUUAAUUCUCGGAAGUCAUUUGUAUAAGAAGAAAAAGAAGGUUUUCAUUCUAGCGGUCCGCAGUAGUCUAGAUAUUUUAACUAGAAUUUUGUAUAACGCGUUUUUAACUCUGAUAUUAUUUGUAAAUGGGGUCACAUGUAGUUUAAUAUAUGAAAUAUGUUUUGAUUUGCGAAAAAAAUUUACACAGGUUUUUAGGCUUGCUACGGGAUUUGGAGCUACCACUCCCAUUCCCUAGCGCCGGUCGCGGCUCAUAAAUUUGGGUCGUGA